UUGUUCUAAAAAAUACCCAAGAGUAAGAAGCGCUUCGUAUUUCGGAGACACAAAAAUAUUUUAAUGAGAAAACUACUACCGAUGCAGCUAAAGUUAAAAAUAUUGAGACUGUGAUUUUAAACAAACAAAAGAGUAGGGAUAGUUCUGAAGAAAAGGCACAUAAAAAGACGAAGCUGAAGCUAUGAUGCGAAAGAGGAAUUUAAAAAACCAACACAAUUGCCGAAAAACCGCAAAGUUGUCUCAGUUACACAAAAUCCAAUACUCACUAAAAAAGACGAAGAUCAUGUAGCCGAUGACGAGCAGCCAACAAGUACGGUUCGCAAAACUGCUACAAUGGAGAAUCAUAUUGAUAAAAACCAAUAUCACGUCUGUACCAGCAAAGAAAAUCGAAUCAACCAUUUCUAAGUCCGUUAAUUAAAAUAUUUUCCCUCGGCAAUAUGUUCAAAUAUCUUUAAAUAUGCAAAUCUUAGACAAUGCCGAGACAGUACAAAACGUACAUACUUACAUAAACAUAAACAUAGAGUUAGAUGCAAUGCAGAUGCAUACAAAACAAGCAAGGAAAUUCUAGGUUCAGGUGUAACCGAACAUUUUA